rnacentral:rRNA from 1 species
AUUGAACGCUGGCGGCAGGCUUAGCACAUGCAAGUCGAGCGGAGAUGAGGUGCUUGCACCUUAUCUUAGCGGCGGACGGGUGAGUAAUGCUUAGGAAUCUGCCUAUUAGUGGGGGACAACAUUCCGAAAGGAAUGCUAAUAACGCAUACGUCCUACGGGAGAAAGCAGGGGAUCUUCGGACCUUGCGCUAAUAGAUGAGCCUAGGUCGGAUUAGCUAGUUGGUGGGGUAAAGGCCUACCAAGGCGACGAUCUGUAGCGGGUCUGAGAGGAUGAUCCGCCACACUGGGACUGAGACACGGCCCAGACUCCUACGGGAGGCAGCAGUGGGGAAUAUUGGACAAUGGGGGGAACCCUGAUCCAGCCAUGCCGCGUGUGUGAAGAAGGCCUUAUGGUUGUAAAGCACUUUAAGCGAGGAGGAGGCUACUGAGACUAAUACUCUUGGAUAGUGGACGUUACUCGCAGAAUAAGCACCGGCUAACUCUGUGCCAGCAGCCGCCGUAAGAC